CCCUUUUGCUUUAGUGAAGCAGGGAGGCUGACAUGGAGGCCGAGGAAGCCAUAGAGGCAGUUAUAGAUGACGUCGUGUAUGUCGAUCGUCCACUCAACCUCCGUCUCCACCAACACCUCUUGCAAUGACUCUUUCCUCAUCCAUGCACACAAUCGAAUCCAUGGAGGAGAGAAGACCAAGGUGAGAUGGGCUCGGGACCAUCCUAAAGAAAAUGGAGGUUGGAGGGUUUGAUACCUCGGAGGCCAAAUGUGCCUCAAUGGCAGCUCCACCCUCAUCAGCAUGGUCACGAAAACAAAGAUAAUUGCCCGCACAUCUUAUUGCCACCUUUAUUGUGCCUCAUACCUAGCUGAAGUUCCUGAUAAUUGUUUGCCAGAAACCAUCUU
rnacentral:lncRNA from 1 species